AAACUGGAAAAGAGGUAUUUUAUUUCCUAGCAUUUAAAUACAAAUUUAAAUAAAUGUAUCUGUUUAUAUACCAAAACUGACAAUUACUUAACAUUAUAGCAAACACAAGCUCCAAGUUAACUGACUUAUAUGGCAAAGGCAGUAAAGGCACAAUAAGAAGCAUAAAGCAAAGAUUUAAAAGGUACGAACUAAUUAAAUCAGAAUAGAAAAAAGACUAAAUUAUAUCCUCAAAAACAUUCUUACAAAUAAACAAGUCAAGUAAUAUAUCUAAAAACAAUAAGCCUCUAAUUACUAGAUUUUUCAAAGACCAGUAACUACAUUCUUCAAGAGUCCUCAAUGGAUGUGGAAACUAGAUUGCAGAAUAACAGAAAAUAAAUGAAAGCAGCAAUCAUACGUGCUAUGCUGAUGAUGGCUGACAGUAAGAUGGAAGAGAAGUUCACUUAGACCGUAUUUCCAGUUCCAUAUCUUCAAUUAUGAACUAUCUCUACUUGGAUCUUACCUCACACUCAACCUAACAAAAUGAUCCAACCUUAAAUUCCACACUACGAUCCCUUGUAACUUCAUUAUGUACAUCAGUAUCACUAAUACUGUCCAAGUAAAUGUGAUGCAAAACUUCAGCAUUAUC
rnacentral:lncRNA from 1 species